AUGGCUGAUCGACGUUGCUUGUCUGAGCGACAAGGCCAUCAUCUGCAAUCAAAUGGUGCAAUUGAUCUUGAAGUUGAUGGUGGGACUACAGGUCUUCAUCCAGAAAUAGGAAUCACAAAAGGUAACUCUCGAGCCAAAUGGAGUCACCAAAUGAAGCUGUACCUUAUUAAACUCCUAAAAGAUCACGAUGUGCCUGGUUUUCGGACACAGAAUGCUUGGAGCAAGGAGGCAUGGAAUAAUAUUCUUCAUCAACUCAAUCAAAAGUUUGAUCAGUCAUUUACUCUCAACCAAGUCAAACAGAAGGAGCAAGAUCUGAAGAGAGACUAUCAUACUGUGAAAAAGUUGUUGGAUGUAAGUGGCUUUGGAUGGGAUAAGGACAGAAAAAUGGUAGACGCACCUGAUAGUCGUUAUGCUGAAGGGAGAACUCGCCAAGGCAUGGACCAUUAUACUAGCAAGAGGAAGUAUGCACCAGUUCCCUUGUCACAGUUGACACCGAUGGCUGAUCUCGAUCAAUCACCAUCACCUACUAUGCCGGUUACCGGUGAGUCGGACAUGCGGUUUACUUUAGAUGAAGAACUUGAGGAAACCAACUUGGAUUCUCCCCCGCAUCUAUCUACACCUAUUCAGCAUGUGCAAGCCCCUCCAAGAUCCACACAAAUGGAGAAACAUGACACUAGGCGUGGGAAAAAACAGAAGCGUAGUGCUACUGAUGACUUCCAUGAGAAGUAUUUAAAACUGAAGAAGGAAGAAAUUGAUCGAUUUGCUGCCAUUGAGGAUAAGAAGCUAGAGGACCCCUACAGCAUCAACAAGUGUAUCACAGCAAUUGAAGGCUUGGAAGGUCUACAACUAGGAGAUAUGCUGAUGGCAUCAGAUAUCUUCAAAUGUAAGGAGAACAGGGAAGUUUUCUUGUCCUACUCUACUAAUGAACUACGGUUGGCUUGGCUUAAAAGAGAGAUUGCACGUGCCCAAACAAAUGAUCAAAAUUAG
rnacentral:rRNA from 1 species